GGAGAGUUGGCUGAGUGGUCGAAAGCGGCCGCCUGCUAAGCGGUUGUAGGGGCAUUUAAAGCCUCUACCCCGGGUUCGAAUCCCGGACUCUCCGCCA
rnacentral:tRNA from 2 species